rnacentral:rRNA from 1 species
ACUCCUACGGGAGGCAGCAGUGGGGAAUAUUGCACAAUGGGGGAAAACCCUGAUGCAGCCAUGCCGCGUGUGUGAAGAAGGCCUCGGUUGUAAGACACUUCUAGUAGGAGGAAGGUAGUGUAGUUAAUACCUGCAUUAUUUGACGUUACCUACAGAAGAAGCACCGGCUAACUCCGUGCCAGCAGCCGCGGUAAUACGGAGGGGUAGCGAGCGUUAAUCGGAAUUACUAGGGCGUAAAGCGCAUGCAGGCGGCCUGUUAAGUCAGAUGUGAAAGCCCGGGGGCUUAACCUCGGAAUUGCAUUUGAAACUGGCAGGCUAGAGUCUUGUAGAGGGGGUUAGGAAUUUACAGGUGUAGCGGUGAAAUGCGUAGAGAUCUGAAGGAAUACCAGUGGCGAAGGCGGCCCCUGGACAAAGACUGACGCUCAGAUGCGAAAGGCUGGGGAGCGAAACAGGAUUAGAUACCCU